rnacentral:rRNA from 1 species
UACAGAGGAGGCAAGCGUUGUUCGGAAUCACUGGGCUUAAAGGGCGCGUAGGCGGCGCGGUAAGUGUUCUGUGAAAUCCCACGGCUCACCCGUGGAACUGCAGGGCAUACUACGUCGCUUGAGGUGCAGGUAGGGGUCGGACUGGAACUCUCGGUGAAACGGUGAAAUGUGUAGAUAUCGAGAGGAACGCCCGAGGCGAAAGCGGGUGACUGGGCCUGUCCUGACGCUGAUGCGCGAAAGCGUGGGGAGCAAACGGG